UGAGCAAUCUGCCCUUCUCUUCGGAAUAAGCGUUGGAAACGACGUCUAAUGCCGAAUACGACCUCCUUUCGCACGAUCGGAGGUGGAAAGCUCCGGCGGAGAAGGAUGAGCUCGCGGCCUAUCAGCUAGUUGGUGAGGUAAUAGCUCACCAAGGCAACGACGGGUAGCCGGCCUGAGAGGGUGACCGGCCACACUGGGACUGAGAUACGGCCCAGACCUCCGUACGGGACGGNAGCG
rnacentral:rRNA from 1 species